UUUUGAAUCCCUCGGCUGUCGUUCGCCUCCAACGGCGAUUCUGAUGAAAUCGCCUUUCUCACCGCCUCCAACCUUCGUCUUCGAAUUCAUCCUUCACAGUUCUUGUUUUUCUUGGUGAAAGGCUUAGAUCUGCGGUUAGGGCUUCCUCCGUCGCAGUUGGCGCCAUCAUUCCCCAUCACAAUUAGUGUUCUUUCUCUUUUGUUGCUAUUUCUUUUUCGCCUUUUCCGGGCUCGCUCGCUGGAAGGGCCCCACUUACAAUGAAAGACCCAAAACCGUGCUGGGGGAUGGGCUUUUCAGGUGAACGACGAGCGGCUCGGCGUUCCAGUCGUCAUGCGCGGAGACGCGAUGGCGACAAACGGCGGAACAAUCGACGGGAACGAAACAUGCAAAGGAAGAAGGUAACGGGUGCUUUUCUUUCUCUCUUGAUCUCCAACGAUUCAAGAAACUCUGCCAUAUUGAUAACCUUUUUUGUGAAUCUGGAGAACAAUCCGAAAGUGGUUAUCCUGACUGCUGUGCAUUCCAAGAUUCUUUUGGCUUGAGGGGAGCCAAAUGAUUUUGUUGAUGUGGAGAGGUCAUGUCCUCUGUAUUGAACUGCAUUCCACAAGAUCACGUGUUUGAUAUCCCGAAGAAUUAGAAUGGAGCUUGCAGUCAUGGUGUGAUUACGCUUGUGAGCAGGCAGGCUAAGGGUGUUAUCAAGGCUAUCAAGAAGCGCUUGGGAAGCAAGAAACCCGAUACUCAAUUUUAUGUUUCUGUCAUGUAGAGCAUACGGGCAAAUCUUGUUGAUGGCAAAACUGGAGCGUGUAAUCGGAUAGUCAACGUCCAAUGACUUGGCGAGAGGGUUAAGUGCUCGCUUUGAAGUUGAGUUCACAUAAGGUCCGGAUGGGGUCUUGACAGUGAAUUUGUUGGUGCUGAGUAAGACCUCUUUACAUGUUUUUUUUUUCCCGGAUCUCUCUCCCUCUCUUUUAUGUGCAGGAUGUGACAAUUUUGAAGAUGAACAUGGGGUUGUGGGUUUUGGUCGGAGUGGGGACAAAAAGAGGCGAAGCAGUUCUUGAUUGCUCUUUGGUACGCAAUGGGCUCUGCAAUAUUCUACAAUAUGCUACAAUAUAUGUUUCUCUCUAUUUGUAAUGCAGGAGAUGCAUAGUUUGGCUGUAAGAGUUCCUGAGAUAGACCCAUUUCUGGACAUAGCUGAUGGGUCAAUGGAGGAUAUACACGCCUGCCUAUAUCUGGUUCUUGGCUAAUUGAUGGAGCUUUAUUUAUGUUGGUAUUUUUAGAGUAAAUGAAUGGGGUUUAAUAUUAAUCUCUCAAGAGAUUCAUAGUUAUAUGUAUUACGGAUAUGGUGGAGGAGUUAAAUAUUCGUAAAUGAUAUAAUAUGGAUCGGUGAAACACAUAUGUGUUUGGCAGUAAAGUUGUUCGGUUUGUGAGUGAGGUAUACCUCAACUCGGGUGAAGUA